rnacentral:rRNA from 1 species
AUUGAACGCUGGCGGCAGGCCUAACACAUGCAAGUCGAACGAGUGGCGGACGGGUGAGUAAUGUCUGGGAAACUGCCCGAUGGCGGGGGAUAACUACUGGAAACGGUAGCUAAUACCGCAUACCAUCGGAUGUGCCCAGAUGGGAUUAGCUAGUAGGUGGGGUAACGGCUCACCAAGGCGACGAUCCCUAGCUGGUCUGAGAGGAUGACCAGCCACACUGGAACUGAGACACGGCCCAGACUCCUACGGGAGGCAGCAGUGGGGAAUUUUGGACAAUGGGCGAAACCCUGAUGCAGCCAGCCCGCGUGUAUGAAGAAGGCCUUCGGGUUGUAAAGUACUUUCGGCGAGGAGGCGUUAUCCGCAGAAGAAGCACCGGCUAACUCCGUGCCAGCAGCCGCGGUAAUUC